rnacentral:rRNA from 1 species
UACGAAGGGGGCUAGCGUUGUUCGGAAUUACUGGGCGUAAAGCGCACGUAGGCGGAUUGUUAAGUGAGGGGUGAAAUCCCGGGGCUCAACCCCGGAACUGCCUUUCAUACUGGCAAUCUCGAGUAUGGAAGAGGUAAGUGGAAUUCCGAGUGUAGAGGUGAAAUUCGUAGAUAUUCGGAGGAACACCAGUGGCGAAGGCGGCUUACUGGUCCAUUACUGACGCUGAGGUGCGAAAGCGUGGGGAGCAAAC